CCGGCCCUGCCAGGAGCACUGUGCCUCCCCACCAGCCUCCCUUGUGCACCUGCUGAAGCCUGUGGCCUCAGACAGGCUCCCAUCCUGGGCUUCAGCUUUCUGACCUGGGAACUGGGGACUUUUGCUUCAACCCCCCAGGGUCCUUCUGACAGCCUGGAAUUUGGUGACCGAGUCUGAGCCCUCCCUUACUCUCCUGGGGGCACCAGGGGUGGGGCUGCAAUUAGAACAGCAUGUCUGAGACUCUGUAGGUUCGGGUGCAGCAGAACCAGGGCAGGGCUGCCGUUCUCACCCUCGGCCAGAAAAGAGCUGAAUCCAGCAAGACUCAGUGAGGGAAGGCAAGAGGGGCUGCAGCCACAUUCCACUCCAUCCUCUGCCUGGGCUGGCAGACACCACCCCCCAUUUGACAGCUCCACUGCUGCCCCAAGGGGCUAUCACUAGAAACAUGAUUGAAACCCACAGGCGUCAGUCCCGUGGCCUUUCUGGGAAGGCUCCGUCCGGCUUCCUGUGUGCUGGCCCAGCCGCCCGCCUGCGGUCAGGGUCGUGGAGACACGCUAAUGAGACGCGAGCCUUUCCAAGCACUUAUGUAAAGGGCUCGGAAGGAAGGGCCCCGGCGUUCCCUGCGGCCCGCAGGCCCCAGGAGGGGGGCUCGGGGCUGCUGCUCUGUCCGCCUCGCUGAGGGGCCCAGCCCACGAUGCCGCCUGGGAAGUGGGGGGCUGUUUGCACCUUUCCCAGCAGCAGGACAGGAGGGGAGGCGGCUCCCGGCCUCCCUGCACCCCUUGCCCUCUUUGCUCUUGUCCGCCCUCCCCUCUCUUUCCCUAGUGCUUCUUCUCCGAAAACCUCUGCCGUUUAGGGGAGCCCUGGAUUUUAAGUGAACAGAGAUAGGCCCUGAGGAGUGAGGAGGUGCCGGAAACCCAGGCCUGCGAAAGGGCUCAGCUGCCAGGGAUGGGGCGGGAUUCUGUCGUUUCAAACACCCUGUGACUUGGAUGAUUCUGUUCUCACUCUGCUGAUGAGGAAACCUCAUCUCUGAACUGAGCCAGAGGCUACUGUUCCCACGGUGUGGUGGGGGCUGUGAAGUCAGCUUAGUGGUAGCAGCCAAGGGUGAAAGGGCCGUCUCUAAACACACACUGAGCCCUGACCCUGGCCACAUGCUGAGCCCCAAUCCUGGCCACAUGCAGCCCGACCCUGGACACACACUGAGCCCUAAUUCUGGUCACACACUGAGCCCUGACUCUGGUCCUAGGCUAAACCUCUCCUUCCUGUCGGCCAUUCAUAAGCAUACAUGUUUGGGGAAAGAUGCGUUUCUGGGCCUUAGAAUCUCUGCCAUUUGUCCCCCCAGCUGAUGGACUAAAGCUUUAGGAGACUACUCCAUUUUUCUUUAUUUUUGAAAUGGAAAAGAGUUGUCUGACCUGAUCAAACAUUUAAAAUUCACAUGGAGUGGAGCAGGGUUUUUUAGUGAGUUUGUAAGCAGGGGGUCCCUCUGUAAAGUGCUUCAUGUGGGGAAUCAGGAGAGAGGCAGAGGACAGCUCAGGACCCUGCCCAGGAGCCACGUGCCAAAGGCGUGGGCCCAGAGUUUAUCCACUCCCCCCACAACCGGGCCCAGGGGCCGAUGACGGCUCAUUCCAAGCAGAAUCACUUCUAGUCUGGGACUGCUUAAUUCAGUCCCCCUGAUAAGGACACCAGUGGUCACACAGCCGCCAUUCAUGGAGCACCACUGAAGGGUUCCAGAACACACACAGACAUCAGGCCUUUAAGUCCUCCUCAUGAACCUGCGUGGGAAGUGCCUAAGAGAUAAAUAGCUCAGAGAGGUGAGGCGAGCUGCCCAACGUCACAGAGUGAGGGAGUCACAGAACCAGGACUGCAGAGCCCACGCGACUCCACCCAGCAAGCUGGUUUCCACCCGAGGAGGCCUGGGGCGCCGGCCCCACCGGCCCCGCUGCGAGCACGCAGCCUGUGGGGGGCACGCUCAAGGCCCCGCCGCUCGGCAUGUGGGCCAGGCUCAGCUGCAGCUGUGUGCAGGGAUCCUCGGUGUUCACCCGGCCCUGCCUGCUCCUCAGGUAGGGGAGGGGCCGGGGCGGGGAGGAGGGUGGGUGAGCACUUACUGGACGAU